GACGAACGCUGGCGGCGUGCUUAACACAUGCAAGUCGAACGGAAAGGCCCUGCGUUUGUGGGGUGCUCGAGUGGCGAACGGGUGAGUAACACGUGAGUAACCUGCCCCUGUCUUUGGGAUAACUUCAGGGAACUGCGGCUCAUACAGGAGAGGAGCUCCUGCUGCGCGGUGGGGGUUGGAAAGUUUCGGCGGUUGGGGCUGGACUCGCGGCUUAUCAGCUGCUUGGGGGGGUAGUGGCUUACCAAGGGUUUGACGGGUAGCCGGCGUGAGAGGGGGACCGGCCACAUUGGGACUGAGAUACGGCGCAGACUCCUACGGGAGGCAGCAGUGGGGAAUAUUGCACAAUGGGCCGAAGCCUGAUGCAGCAACGCCGCGUGCGGAAUGACGGCCUUCGGGUUGUAAACCGCUUUCGCCUGUGACGAAGCGUGAGUGACGGUAAUGGGUAAAGAAGCACCGGCUAACUACGUG
rnacentral:rRNA from 1 species